rnacentral:tRNA from 2 species
GCGCGGGGUGGAGCAGCCUGGUAGCUCGUCGGGCUCAUAACCCGAAGGUCGUCGGUUCAAAUCCGGCCCCCGCAACC